rnacentral:pre_miRNA from 1 species
AACGGCACCCUAUUCCCUACAUAGUGCACUACGAGUGCUGGUCACAAGUAGUGCACUAUAUAGGGAAUAGGGUGCCAUUU